rnacentral:sRNA from 1 species
GUGUGUAUGAUCCAGAGGCACUUGUUCUUGUUGUUUGUGCCAUUGCCAUUGUUGUGGGUGGUGAUCUUGAGAGGCAGUUUUGAUAGGAUAUUGGGGACAGGUGUCAUUUUCAUAACUUAUAUUUGGACUACUGCACCUCACGCUAAUUUACCUCAAAUGACACACUGUCCAGAUAUCAGAGCUCCUUGAAUCACAGCAACCAUGGGUUGGGUUUUGAGCUCAGAGGAAUGACCCAACUCUGCGCAAGCAAGCAGCGGAAGUCUCUGCAUGCUGCCUUCCAACUGGCCACUGGGUGUCACUCUUCGUCUAUGUUCGCUGGGUGUCAGGGUCUGAGAAGUAAUUCAGCCUUUGCUGAAGUCUCCAUCUUCUCCGUGAGCAGGAACUCUGCCUUUCUCAGUGAUGAGGAGAGAUGUUCCCUGUUGGCCCUGGGAAGUGAUAAGCAGACUGAGUGUUCCAGCUUUCUCCACACUCUUGCUCGCACUGACAUCACAUCUGUCUACCGGCUCAGUGGGUUUGAAUCCAUCCAGAAUCCUCCAAAUGAUCUGAGUGCAUCCCAGCCUGAAGGCUUCAAGGAGGUCAGGCCUGGCAGAGCCUGGGAGGAGCAUCAGGCCGUGGGCUCCAGACAGUCCAGCAGCUCUGAGGACUCCAGCCUGGAGGAGGAGCUCCUCUCAGCCACCUCAGACAGCUAUCACCUGCCGGAGCCUGAUGACCUUGAUGAC